AGUGAACUUCGUUUGCAGUGAAAAUCCUUUUCUUUUUCCCUUUAAAAAAGAAAAGAUUGCAACGGAUAGCGGGAAUUAGC
rnacentral:sRNA from 2 species